rnacentral:rRNA from 1 species
GAUGAACGCUGGCGGCGUGCUUAACACAUGCAAGUCGAACGGGAAUUACUUUAUUGUACCUUCGGUCGAUUUAAUUUAAUUCUAGUGGCGGACGGGUGAGUAACGCGUGGGUAACCUGCCUUAUACAGGGGGAUAACAGUCAGAAAUGGCUGCUAAUACCGCAUAAGCGCACAGAGCUGCAUGGCUCGGUGUGAAAAACUCCGGUGGUAUAAGAUGGACCCGCGUUGGAUUAGCUUGUUGGUGGGGUAACGGCCCACCAAGGCGACGAUCCAUAGCCGGCCUGAGAGGGUGAACGGCCACAUUGGGACUGAGACACGGCCCAGACUCCUACGGGAGGCAGCAGUGGGGAAUAUUGCACAAUGGGGGAAACCCUGAUGCAGCGACGCCGCGUGAAGGAAGAAGUAUCUCGGUAUGUAAACUUCUAUCAGCAGGGAAGAUAGUGACGGUACCUGACUAAGAAGCCCCGGCUAACUACGUG